rnacentral:rRNA from 1 species
AUUGAACGCUGGCGGCAUGCCUUACACAUGCAAGUCGAACGGUAACGCGGGGCAACCUGGCGACGAGUGGCGAACGGGUGAGUAAUACAUCGGAACGUGCCCAGUAGUGGGGGAUAGCCCGGCGAAAGCCGGAUUAAUACCGCAUACGACCUACGGGUGAAAGCGGGGGAUCGCAAGACCUCGCGCUAUUGGAGCGGCCGAUGUCAGAUUAGCUAGUUGGUGGGGUAAAAGCCUACCAAGGCGACGAUCUGUAGCUGGUCCGAGAGGACGACCAGCCACACUGGGACUGAGACACGGCCCAGACUCCUACGGGAGGCAGCAGUGGGGAAUUUUGGACAAUGGGGGCAACCCUGAUCCAGCCAUGCCGCGUGCGGGAAGAAGGCCUUCGGGUUGUAAACCGCUUUUGUCGGGGAAGAAACGGUCUGCGCUAAUACCGCGGACUAAUGACGGUACCCGAAGAAUAAGCACCGGCUAACUACGUGCCAGCCGCCGCCGUAACAC